rnacentral:rRNA from 1 species
GAUGAACGCUGGCGGCGUGCUUAACACAUGCAAGUCGAACGGAAAGGCCUCUGCUUGCAGAGGUACUCGAGUGGCGAACGGGUGAGUAACACGUGGGUGAUCUGCCCUGCACUUCGGGAUAAGCCUGGGAAACUGGGUCUAAUACCGGAUAGGACGAUGGUUUGGAUGCCAUUGUGGAAAGUUUUUUCGGUGUGGGAUGAGCUCGCGGCCUAUCAGCUUGUUGGUGGGGUAAUGGCCUACCAAGGCGUCGACGGGUAGCCGGCCUGAGAGGGUGUACGGCCACAUUGGGACUGAGAUACGGCCCAGACUCCUACGGGAGGCAGCAGUGGGGAAUAUUGCACAAUGGGCGCAAGCCUGAUGCAGCGACGCCGCGUGGGGGAUGACGGCCUUCGGGUUGUAAACUCCUUUCGUCAGGGACGAAGCGAAAGUGACGGUACCUGGAUAAGAAGCACCGGCUAACUACGUGCCAGCCGCCGCCGUAACAC